AAAAAAACAAGGAAGAAAGAGAAGGAGCAUAAACUUUCCAGAGCCCAAACCUCUCCCUCUGCAAAACAAAUUCCCUGCUUAGAGGAAGGAAAAACUCUCCAUGGGCUGAGAGCAAACAAACUUUUCUCAUUCAGAGGAGCUCAUGCAGCCAUGGGGGAUCUCCAGGGCAGAGCUGAGAGGGAAAUAAGGGACAGAAAACAUCCAUGGGAGGCUGGGAUAAAUCAUCCUUCCCAGCCAGCUAUUAUAAAUCAAACUGAAGUCACUCUGGAAUUCCAUGGUCUUUGGUGUCUGCAUUUCUUUAAAUAAAUAGUAAUUUUUUAAAAAAAAUUCCAACAAACUAGUAACCUCCUACAAAUUCCAAGAGUUAUAAACCAACCCUACAGGGCAGCUCUUCCAUUUGCCUUGGAGCUCCCCUCGUCUGGAUCUCAUUAGCCAGUUUGCCAGAUGUUCUGCUUUCCAGAUAGCACACAUUUUUUAUGGCCUUGCACUGAAACAGAGAUUCCCUAACUGGCUCACUGCCUGGCUCCCAAAGCCUUUACUCCACUUAUCAGGACUUUCUCCUAAGUGGCUGAGGAUGGUUUGGAUGCUAGUUUCCAUCCUGUCCAGAUAUUGUUAUUUUAGCAAGUACACCUGUGAUGACAGAACAUCUGAAGGCAGAAGUGACUUAAAUCAGAAAAAAAAUAUCCUUAUUCUGUCAUUCAUACUGCUCACACAUCACGUGUGCAGCCAAUGUAAGAUGCAAUAUGUGAGUCUCUCCAGUGAGUUCCAUGUGUGAGUAACAUUUCUCUUGACAGGCAAAAAGAAGAAAUGCCAAGGACACAACUUCAGAGACAGGACACACCUUCAUUCACGUGGCCUUGCAAGGUCCCUGAUUCAGCAGAGGAAGGAAGGCAUCACCUCCUGCAGCUGGGAAAGGUCAGACUGUCCAGGGCACGUGGUCUGGGCAGCUCCAGUCACCAGAGUGUCCAAGGCUGGAUGGGGCUUGAAGCAGCCAGUCCUGGUGGAAUGUGGCUGUUCCUUCCAAUCCAAAGCAUUCUAUGAUUUCACUGUUCUACCAUUCAGUUGGAGACAUUUCUUCUCAGGCUGUGCAUUCCUCGCUGCCACAACCCCCUGCAUUUCUCACACCCUCCAUCUUCACUGGACCUGUAAUUCCCAAACUCAGCCACAGAGCCCAAGCUUUUGGUUUAAUACAAACAUAACCAGGCAUCCCACAGCAUCCAACAUGAGCCCAUUGAAGAAGGCAGAUCCCAGCAGGAUCUAAGGUUCUCUUGGUGCUCCUGGAUCUCCUGAGCUCGCAUCCAAGACCUGUCCCAGUGCAGGAUCCCUGUGCUGGCAGAGGUUUCUGGCUCUCUCAGUGACAUUGCUCCCUGAGGCUGUGCUGAGGAUGGACAAGGAGAAGGAGAGCACUCCAGAAGCACUCCUCUCUCCUGGAAAGCUCUCAUCAGCUGAACCACAGGGAACACUCACUACAGAAGGUGCAAAUCCAUAAAAAAACAUGGAAACAAGCUAGAUGCCCACCCUUCCCUAGCACAAUCUGUGCAGGCAUCUUCAGUCCCAAGGCCAAGAUUUUAGUCAAGGAUUAGAGUUGUCCCAGCACCAAUGAUAGCAUUUUCCAUUCCAAGGGCUCACAGGACACGUAGUUUCACCUCCAGAGGAUUAAUCUUCCCUCCCUCCUGGUAAGAAACUGCUCCUUCCAAGCACUGAGGCACAAACACACGUGAGCUCGUCUCUUCAAGGCCAGGCUCACCUACCCGGGAGAAGGAAAGCUGGAAGCUGCCUGGAAAGCACAGCUGGUCUGGCACUUGGCCACACAUCUCAGAGGUGAGCCAGCCAGCCAGGGAAAUCACUGCCUGAUUGCCAGUUCAGCACCGUGCCAACGGGAGCAUCGCAGGACUGGUCUUUGGGGCCCAAAAUGUCUUAGUGCCUGUCCCUGUUUCAGGGGACAUUGUGGUAAGGAAUAGAACAGCCAUGGGGAAGUCUAAACAAUUUGCUGUCAGUUUGUUGCCUAGGAAAAAAAGGGCAUCUCCAACAGAGAGCAGUGCCAAGCCCUUCUGCUACAAGAGAAAUAAUCUACUUCAGAAUAUUUCGAGCCAGCGUAACUGAGUCAUGCUCCUCCUUGGAGACAACGGCACAGCAGAAACAAAUGCAAAGGCCUCGGGGCUCACUGUAUUCUCACAGCACUCACUUGCUGUGCAGCUCAACAAAUAAAGUCAUUUCAGUUUCCUAUUGAACACAGGAAAGUUUCUUAAAAAAAUACGGAUGUUGCCACUUCCUGUUAAAAGGCGACUCGAGCCGACCGUCCUCGCCUUGACUCGAGGAUGCAGCGAGUUCCUCCAGCACCAACACAAGCUCACAUCGUGCCUUCAUCACCACAGGGAGCUGAAUCCUCGUGAAGGAGGAGCAGAUGUCCCUCAGCAUGGAAUUGUUUUACACCUGGAAAUCUCACCCAUGGCAGGAUGGUGGAACUGAAGUUUUGGGGCCCCUUCAACCCAAACCACUCUGGGAUUCUCUGAGAUGAUUCCCUGACCAGAUGGGCUGAAGCUGUGGACUACAUGGACAGACUUAACUCUCUCACUGCCAACACAAACGUGCUCUGGAACCAGACCCAACACAGAAGAGAUUUCUUGUCACUUCAGGUUGCAUUGGCUACCAAACACAUCAAAAUCUAGGUAAUUCACAUGCCUCAAAAAGAACAUUAACUGCUCCAAAUCCCAGGUGUCUACCUGGGGCUUAGUAAAGGAUUUUUUUAUUUUUUUUAAAGACAGGUUUGGUGUCUACAACAUCCAUUAAUGCUGUAA